GCGGAUCCAUAAUUCGUUAGCAAAGCGCUUUGUUACUUGCACACGCGGCGCAUUUCUCAAACGCCGUCGUUAAUAGCAACAAAGACAAGAAACCAAACCAUCUGCUUGCCUUUUGUUUUGAGGUUAUCCUUUGGAUUGUCGUCACCUGGUAACCAUGGUAACAGGACCACAUGACGACAAUGGCGAAACCUUGGGAGGCUUUGUGAGCAGAGAAACUAACUGGACUUCUUUUCUAUCUCUUUAAACCAACAUCUUCUCGUCAAUUGUGAAGAUGGAUAUGAUGAGGAUGAAGGUCACACCGCAGGAGCGAGGAGUCACACAAACAAACCACUUCCUGUCUGAUCAAAGUGGCGCAGCGGUAGCAUCUCUUCAUCUCAUCACUGCUGCAAUCUCUAAAACAACCCUCCAGGCUUUCUUCAUCUUCAUGUCUCGAUAUAUAUAUAUAUAUA